rnacentral:rRNA from 1 species
AUUGAACGCUGGCGGAAUGCUUUACACAUGCAAGUCGAGCGGCAGCGCGGGGGCAACCCUGGCGGCGAGCGGCGAACGGGUGAGUAACAUAUCGGAACGUACCCCGUCGUGGGGGAUAACACAGCGAAAGCUGUGCUAAUACCGCAUACGACCUGAGGGUGAAAGCGGGGGACCGUAAGGCCUCGCGCGAUGGGAGCGGCCGAUAUCGGAUUAGCUAGUUGGUGAGGUAAAGGCUCACCAAGGCGACGAUCCGUAGCUGGUCUGAGAGGACGACCAGCCACACUGGAACUGAGGCACGGUCCAGACUCCUACGGGAGGCAGCAGUGGGGAAUUUUGGACAAUGGGGGCAACCCUGAUCCAGCCAUUCCGCGUGAGUGAAGAAGGCCUUCGGGUUGUAAAGCUCUUUCAGCAGGAACGAAACGGUGGCCCCUAAUACGGGCUACUAAUGACGGUACCUGAAGAAGAAGCACCGGCUAACUACGUGCCAGCAGCCGCGGUAAUACGUAGGGUGCGAGCGUUAAUCGGAAUUACUGGGCGUAAAGCGUGCGCAGGCGGUUCUAUAAGACAGAUGUGAAAUCCCCGGGCUUAACCUGGGAACUGCGUUUGUGACUGUAGAACUCGAGUGUGGCAGAGGGGGGUGGAAUUCCACGUGUAGCAGUGAAAUGCGUAGAGAUGUGGAGGAACACCGAUGGCGAAGGCAGCCCCCUGGGUCAACACUGACGCUCAUGCACGAAAGCGUGGGGAGCAAACAGGAUUAGAUACCCUGGUAGUCCACGCCCUAAACGAUGCGAACUAGGUGUUGGGGAAGGAGACUUUCUUAGUACCGCAGCUAACGCGUGAAGUUCGCCGCCUGGGGAGUACGGUCGCAAGAUUAA